rnacentral:misc_RNA from 1 species
UUCGGUCUGCUACCUCUUACCCAUGUCUUUUGAGUACCUUCGUUUCCUCGGCGGGUCCGCCCGCCGGUUGGACAACAUUCAAACCCUUUGCAGUUGCAAUCAGCGUCUGAAAAAACUUAAUAGUUACAACUUUCAACAACGGAUCUCUUGGUUCUGGCAUCGAUGAAGAACGCAGCCAGCUCGAUGAAGAACGCAGCA